rnacentral:lncRNA from 1 species
ACAACUGCGCCAACGUCUGCCGGACCGAGGGCUUCCCCGGCGGCAAGUGCCGCGGCGCCAGCCGCCGCUGCUUCUGCACCACCCACUGCCGCUAGUAGCCUAGCUGCAUGCAUGCAUGCUGGCACCUUUGUGCGUGUACCGUGUCCGUGUCCAUGAAUAAACCUCAGCUUGUCUACUAUCUUGGCAUGCAGGCCGAGCUGGGUAUAAGAAGCAACUUCUCCUUGUGUCCGUUCGAUGUUUGGGUUCGUCCUCAAAGUUGCAGCGAGGUCCCAUGUUUCCUUUCACGUGUGUUGUGUGCGUGUAAGCGUGUUCUCCCUCUCACUUGCUCUGUACACGAAACGACGUGCAUGUCGCAUGCUACUUCCGUGUGAUCGAAAGCAUGUUUUUUUGUUUGUUUGAGAAAAGUGUGAUCGAGGCAUGUGUGCAGCAAGGAACUUGACAGCUGCCACCCGGCGCUGCUCAAUGCUCAUGCACGAUGGACUGGCCACGCGUAAAAGGUCCCGGCCUCUAGGAGUGGGAAGUUAUGGUCACGGGCACCAUGGUCCCCUUUAUUAAAAAAAAACAUAUUAAGAAGUAAAAAAAUUAUCUGUGGAAACAUGUAUGUGUGCACUACGGAUCCAUGAAAUUUUGUUUUGAAAAAAUGUAAUGUGUAAGCUGUAAAACAUAAUCUGGCCAUAUACUGAUUGACUUUGUUCCAUCGUUGAAAACCUCGUAUAUAUUCUGUAUAUUCGAUCUAAACCAUUAUGAUCGUGCGUUAAGCAAGACUUGACUUGUUGCCAUGGAGGAGAAAAGAAUUGCUUGGAGGAGUGAUUUUGCAUCUCCCUAGCUACAAACUGCAUGGGUAGUGACCCAGAUGAAGCCAAGUUGCAAGUCCGUGCAGUUAUUAUGGCCUAAUUAGUAAAGUCAAACACGAGUGUCCUAUGAGCAGAGUUCUGUAUACUGUCUGAAUAUCGCUAGGCUGUUUCUGCAAGUUACAAAGGGCAUUUUGGUUUGAGAGUUAUGCAUCGGCCCCAUGUGUGUUUCAUACUACCGUUGAUGAGGAAUCCCCACAUCAUCACACCGAGAUCAUGGUAGGGUCUUGAGCAACAUGAUGAAGGACUCAUGCCUCGGCAGAGUAAUCAAUUCGUUGAUGCGAAUUAGGUGGCUCAUGGGGCCUCUGGUUUAGCCAGUGGAGUGCCAUAAUUGAGCGUCACUGCCCUAACAGACGCAUACUGUCAGGCUCGUCAGCAACCUUCCAGAACACGAUGGGCUGGGCGUUAUGAUUACCGUUUAGGCCAGACAAGGACAAGGACGGCCUCGUUAGUAGUAGAAGACACCAACCAAGUAAUUAUACUACGUAGUAGACAGCCAUGUCUUGUGAAACUCUUAAGUAUCCACAUGCGAAAGUAAAAUGUUGUGAAAUUUUGCACAUACAUAAUAUACAUGUGACUGUGUUUACAAAAAAUUCCAAUUUUUUGGUGUUUCACCAGCGCUGGUUAAACGUGUCCCCGCACGUAAACCAACUGGGCCGGCCUAUAAUGCAUUGAAACAUUCCUGAUUUUUGUGCAGCUUUGUGGCCAAUUCUAAGAAGCUUCUAGAAGCACCGAACAAUUUUUGGGAAGCUUCUGACCGAUUUUUUUUCUUUUCUUGGUUUUUUAUUUUUAUUUUUUAUUUUCCUUUUUUCUUCAUUUUUCAUUUAAUGUAUUUUAAACUCACAUUUUCAAAAACAAUUCAAGAACUUUUUGAAAUCCAUGAGCAUUUUUCAAAUUGGUGAUUUUUUUAUAAAUCCGUGAACAUAUUUAAAAUAUUUUUCAGAUUCAUGAACUUUUCGAAAUCUGAAUUAUUUUUACAAUCAUUGUUUUUUUUAAUUUGUGAUUUUUUUAAUUCAUGACUUUUUUUCGAGCCACAAUAGUUUUUCAAAUAUGAAAAAAAACUAUCUUUAGUCCAAAAGUCAACGGUCAACCGUCCGACCAGGUCAACCAUGAAGAGUGACUAGGCGUGUGCGCUUGAUGAGCGAGCUGCUCGCUCGCAUAGCUAGCCCAGCCCACACAAGGGGGCGCGUGAGCGCUGCCUCGCUACCAAGCGCAACGAGUGCUAACUAGGAGCUUUGACGGCAAAUACCAUAGCUGGCUUCUCUCUUAGUGACGAAUUUGCACAAAAUGACCCCUUUUGAAGAAAUCUAAGCCCAAGAGGCCCCUAAUUCACCUAUGGACCCCCUCCAGGGGAGGAUUGCGGUUCAUAUAUUAACUUUGUCAGUAUUGUCACGAUUUCAUCUGCUACUUAUGUCUGCCGAUAAAAAUUGGUCCAUAUAUUGCCACAUAUAAAGUAAACUAGAUAGUAGCUCGUGCAUUGUAAUGGGGCACAAUAUUUUCUACCCAACCGUUGUGAUUUAUUGAACAUUUUAUUGUUUUAUUAUAGUUACAUACUAAAUGUCGCAAUUGAAUCAAUACUUAUUGAUUUACCAAAGAAAACAUGAUUCUAUUAGUUGCUGCAUUUUUCUAAAUCGUUUGGCUUAGAUUAGGGGGGUAGCUGCAAAUCAAACAUGUGGCAACUCUAACGAGCUUGCAAAACUGGUUGUGUGACAAAGUAUUGCAAUCUUAUUAUACCAAUUAAAUAUGUCUACAUGCAUCUAGCUGUCACCAAACCAAACACUAGCUUUUUGCCUAUGUGUUUCGUCCCUCGAAUUUUACUAUGCCACGCACGACUCAAUAUUUUUCUUUGACUUUUUUGCUGUGAUACAUAAUAAUGAUCACAAAAAUUAGCUUCAACUAUAAUGAAUUUUCACUAAAUAAGAUUGAAAGAGUGAAAAAUCACUCCCUCCUAUAUGUCUAAUCCUCACAUAUGCAACAAAUAUAGAUCGGCCUAAGUAUCAGAGCCAGGCAUUCCAAACUAAAAACAUUGAAGGAGCGUAAACAUCAAGAACCACCAUCACCCAAAAACAAAUGAAGCAAGGACUAAAACUAUAAAUUCAAGAACUUGUAGGGGCCACACGGACUGUUCGGAAAAAAAAAAUACCUUGAGAGCUGUGAUAUUUUUAAAACGAGAUCAACCAGCACUAGCCCUUAGCGGCAUAUUUUUAUGGAAGAAAAUCUGUAAGCAUCCGGCAGAGUAUACUGCUUUAGCAUAUGACAAAUCUAUUUUUUUACGGGAGCAUAUGUACAGAUCUACAAAACACACAAUAGGUGGUAGUUAAAAUUAAAAUGUAUGGCCAUAAAUGGUAAGGGUAGCACACAUCUCAAAGCUUUCCCCGACGCUGGAUUCUUUGCUGUUACCUACCGGGUGGGCACCCCAGAAAAAUCGUGUUCGUGUCCACCGGCCGUAUCGAUGCGUUUCUGAUAAACCGCUCGCCGCUCCCUACCCUUGCUAAGCUCACGGCAAUCCAGUCGUCGUCGUCGUCGUCACAGACCACGUGAGUUUUCUUGUAGCAAUCCAUGGCGUCGCCGGAUCGACCUUUGGCUCGUUGCACGUACUCCCACCGAUCUACUUGCGGCACAUAUUUGUCGCCUUUUUCAUUUGGAUGCAGCUGCAUCGCGUUCGGUUUGACCCCAUGGCUUCGGCAGCUUGUGCGUGCCGCUACAUAAGCUGGUGUGCUCUCCCAGCAGCUCCAUCACUCCACCGCCACCCUCGUACAAUGGAGGCUUCACGCAAGCUCCUCUCGGCGGCGAUCCUCCUGGUGCUGCUGCUGGCGGGCACCGGGGAGAUGGGAGGCCCGGUGGCGGUGGCGGAGGCGCGGACGUGCGAGGCGAAGAGCCACAGGUUCAGGGGCCCCUGCGUGCGCCACCGCAACUGCGCCAACGUCUGCAAGACCGAGGGCUUCCCCGGCGGCAAGUGCCGCGGCUUCCGCCAUCGCUGCUUCUGCACCACCCACUGCCGCCAGUAACCAACCCACUACCUCUACUUCGUACGUCCGCCUAGCUGCAGCCUGCCUGCGUGCAUGCUGGCUUGCUCGCACCUUCUGCGUGUAUUGUAGUACUGUGUGUGUCCAUGAAUAAACCUCGGCCUGUCUGUCAUGGCAUGCUGAGAUGGGUAUAAGAAACGCAGGUUCCCUUUUACUCUGUGUUAAUAAUCAUUCCUUGAGUCGUCGAUUUCCCCGUUGGAUAUGUGGGUUCAAAUUUUCAUUUUUGAACUGCCCACCUGAAUUUUCAUUUCAAGCCCAAGAAUGGCAAACCGACAGAUUACAGGGCUUCUACCAGUUGAGAGAAACAGGGGUCGAUGUUGCGCACUACUUCAGACAGCGCAAGGCCGCAAGGCAUAGGUCACGCAAAAUCCUGGCAUGCGGGGAAGCCGACAGAGGAGCUUUGCUACACUUACGUAAUUGUUUUACGUAAACUCUUUAGGAAAUCAACUUGGCAACUGGUGAUUGGUUAGUAGGAAAUCAUGGGGCAGGGCCUGCAGUUAAAAUCAGGGGGACGGAAGAGAAUUAGGGCUUCUUUGAUUCAUAGGACUGCAAAAUCAGGGGAAGGUUUAUGUAACAGGCUAUGAGCAAUGCUACACCUACGUACAGUUAUUUUAGACAAACCUAACUAAUUAAGGAGUACUAGUAGAAUGCCCGUGCGUUGCCACGGGCAUUUUAAAAAAUUGACCGGUUUGUCAUGAUAAUGUUCCACUGGAAAAAACAUAUGAGGUUUAUGGAUAUAUGAUAUUCCCCCGCACACGUGGUGAUUAUGCCAAUAUUAUGACUCUGGCAAACCUCAAAAAAAAAA